UUGUUGGUAAGGUAAAAGCUUACCAAGGCUUCGAUCAGUAGCUGGUCUGAGAGGACGACCAGCCACACUGGGACUGAGACACGGCCCAGACUCCUACGGGAGGCAGCAGUGGGGAAUUUUGGACAAUGGGGGCAACCCUGAUCCAGCCAUGCCGCGUGAGUGAAGAAGGCCUUCGGGUUGUAAAGCUCUUUCAGCCGGAACGAAACGGUUACGGUUAAUACCCGUGACUAAUGACGGUACCGGAAGAAGAAGCACCGGCUAACUACGUGCCAGCAGCCGCGGUAAUACGUAGGGUGCGAGCGUUAAUCGGAAUUACUGGGCGUAAAGCGUGCGCAGGUGGUUUUGUAAGUCAGAUGUGAAAGCCCCGGGCUCAACCUGGGAACUGCGUUUGAAACUACAAGACUAGAGUGUGGCAGAGGGGGGUGGAAUUCCGCGUGUAGCAGUGAAAUGCGUAGAGAUGUGGAGGAACACCGAUGGCGAAGGCAGCCCCCUGGGUCAACACUGACGCUCAGGCACGAAAGCAUGGGGAGCAAACAGGAUUAGAUACCCUGGUAGUCCAUGCCCUAAACGAUGUCAACUAGUUGUCGGGCCUUUACGGGCUUGGUAACGUAGCUAACGCGUGAAGUUGACCGCCUGGGGAGUACGAUCGCAAGAUUAAAACUCAAAUGAAUUGACGGGGACCCGCACAAGCGGUGGAUUAUGUGGAUUAAUUCGAUGCAACGCGAAAAACCUUACCUACCCUUGACAUGUAUCGAAGCCCGCAGAAAAGCGGAGGUGCCCGAAAGGGAACGAUAACACAGGUGCUGCAUGGCUGUCGUCAGCUCGUGUCGUGAGAUGUUGGGUUAAGUCCCGCAACGAGCGCAACCCUCGUCAUUAAUUGCCAUCAUUUAGUUGGGCACUUUAAUGAGACUGCCGG
rnacentral:rRNA from 1 species